rnacentral:rRNA from 1 species
UACGUAGGGUGCUAGCGUUGUCCGGAUUUAUUGGGCGUAAAGGGCUCGUAGGCGGCGUGUCGCGUCGGGGAGUGAAAGCCCGCUGCUUAACGGCGGGUUGGCUUCCGGUACGGGCAUCGCUGGGAGUGCGGCAGGGGGAGACUGGAAUUCCUGGUGUAGCGGUGGAAUGCGCAGAUAUCAGGAGGAACACCAAUGGCGAAGGCAGCUCGCUGGGACGGUACUGACGCUGAGACGCGAAAAGCGUGGGGAGCAAACAGG